AUCUUUUUUAUUUUAUCAUUAGAUAAAUUUUUUUUUUUUUUUUUUUUUAGAGUGGGAUGUUUUAAAUACGAAAAUGGACGCAGAACCUCGCGAAACGCGAGGUUCGCCAUAAUUUGUAAUGAUCCUUCCGCAGGUUCACCUACGGAAA
rnacentral:misc_RNA from 1 species